rnacentral:rRNA from 1 species
ACACUGACGUCGCGACGCAUAUCAAUAAGCGGAGGAAAAGAAACUAACAAGGAUUCCCUUAGUAACGGCGAGUGAAGCGGGAAGAGCUCAAAUUUGAAAUCUUCAAGGUUCUACCUUGACGAAUUGUAGUUUAAAGAAGUGUUUUCUGUUAGAUGAGUAGCAAAAGUUCCUUGGUAAUGGGACAUCAUAGAGGGUGAGAAUCCCGUAUUUGGUUAUUCAUUCUAGCUUUGUGAUACACUUUCAAAGAGUCGGAUUGUUUGGGAAUGCAGUCCAAAAUGGGUGGUAAAUUUCAUCUAAAGCUAAAUAUUGGCGAGAGACCGAUAGCGAACAAGUACCGUGAGGGAAAGAUGAAAAGAACUUUGAAAAGAGAGUUAAACAGUACGUGAAAUUGUCAAAAGGGAAGCGUUUGACACCAGUGUUGUUUUUCCGAAAAUCAAUUAUAGAUGUUUUGUUUCUGAGGAGUGAUGACUUCAUCGGCUUCCUUCUCUCUUCACGAAACUUUUGUAAUGCACUUUUCGGUUAACAAGUCAACAUCAAUUUCUUUUGUUGUAAAAGAGUAUUCGGAAGGUGGCUUUCUUUUCGGAGAAAGUGUUUAUAGCCCUAUACUUCUACAAUCGGAGAGAUUGAGGUCUGCAGCGUAGAUCCUUCGGGGUUAGAUACACUUGUGCUAAGUUAUAGCUUUUCAUAGACAACUUGUUGACUAUGUUUAGUCUUGUAGCUUACUCGCUUGUGCUAUUUUACCUACGCUUAGGAUGUUGAGUCGUAGAGCACGCAG